rnacentral:rRNA from 2 species
UGCAGUCGACGAGUUUGCUUUUAAUGAAGNNGGUGCUUGCACCAACUGAUUUAAAAAUAAACGAGUGGCGGACGGGUGAGUAACACGUGGGUAACCUACCCUAAAGUGGGGGAUAACAUUUGGAAACAGAUGCUAAUACCGCAUAAUAUUAAAAACCACAUGGUUUUUAAUUGAAAGACGGCGUAAGCUGUCACUUUUGGAUGGACCCGCGGCGUAUUAGCUAGUUGGNGAGGUAACGGCUCACCAAGGCGAUGAUACGUAGCCGACCUGAGAGGGUGAUCGGCCACAUUGGGACUGAGACACGGCCCAAACUCCUACGGGAGGCAGCAGUAGGGAAUCUUCCACAAUGGACGAAAGUCUGAUGGAGCAACGCCGCGUGAGUGAAGAAGGUUUUCGGAUCGUAAAACUCUGUUAUUGGAGAAGAACGUAUUUGGUAGUAACUGGCCAGAUAGUGACGGUAUCCAAUCAGAAAGCCACGGCUAACUACGUGCCAGCAGCCGCGG